UAACACACAUCCAUGCAUAUUUAAAAUUGAGUGAAGCAAAGCUUUUAACCGAGGUUAGAAGUGGAUUGGAAUUUAUGUUUGGUAGUAUAAAUGGUGUAUUCGAUGUUCAAAAAUGUAGGAAUAGGAAAACUACCUUAAUAUAUAUAACUAAGUAUGAUUCAGGGCCAAUUUCAAAUUGUAAUGAUUCGGCUCUUUCUUUCAACGUUCGUGUACAUAGGUGGGCAGAACGUACAAAUUUCAUAGAUUACACCGAUCCUUUCUUAGUCAAUAAUUGGUCACAUAUUCGUUUUAUAGAAAAGUAUUUUGAAUCGUUUCAGGCUAAGAAGCUUACAGUGAGAUCAUUGUCCGAGUGCCACCUACAUUAGAAUGGCUGGGCGGGGCGCGUGGUACGUUGGUCCAAGGUGGUGCGUAAAAAGCAGUUGUAUUUGUACGGAGACACAAAUAUUGGCAAGUCAACUUUGAUUGAGAAAGUGUGUCACGUAAACAACAUAUAUAUCUUCCAUUCUGUUCCGAAUUCGGAUUUGGCGGUUAUGACCCCCGCAUUCACAAUGUGAUUGUUUUUGAGUAAUUUGAGUGGUCGAGGUGGCGUCCUUAUGCUUCAAUUUUGAAACGCAUUGUUGAAGGACGACCUGUGACUGUUAAUGUGAAAAACAAACCAGGUAUGGUCAUAAAGCACCGCGGCUUGGUUAUAUUUGUGUCAAAUGAGUUUUCUAUUGGUGAUGAAGCUCUAAUUUCACGGUUGAACGUUGUGCACGCAGAUUGUCAUAUUAUUCAUUGUUUAUCUAUGAAGGAGGAGGUGGCGUCGGACGCGUCGGAUGUGGAGACCCCGGAGGAGGUUGUUUGUCUUUCGUUGGACGAGGAUGGUCCGGAGAGGUCGCGCUGCACGCCCGAGGCGUUUAAUACGUCGACGGACGAUUCUAACUAAACCGUAUUUUGGACGUAUGUGCAGGUGGCGCACAGAAUAUACCCAAUCGGAUAGUGUUAGGUUCGAGUAUGGAAAAAUGGGCGCCACUGAGAAAUAUGAUGAAAAUGCUAUUAACUUUACCACAUUAAAACAUUAUGACAUAACAGAUGAGUUUAAGUUCUUUGCUAACAAGUAUGGUUCAGUAAUAAUUAAUAAGGUAGUCACGUAUGUAUAUAGGAUUAAUGUUAGAGUUGAACGGUUGACACUAGAUGAUAGAGCUAAUAAGAAAAUAUUUGUAGAUCAAGGUGCCUUGGAGAAAGUUCGUAUAGCAUGCAGUAAUAAAAUUGGGCCUUUCAGUCUUAGACCAGAACGAUCAUCUGGAGUCCCAUGGCGUAAAUAUAAUAGAAAAAAUAGAUUUAAGUUUGUAACGUAUUCAAAGCCUGAGAGUAGUGCAGAUAUAAGUAAGGUCAAGUCGUGGACCGAUUUGGAAACACAAUGUAAAGCAAAAAACAAAUUGUUUCAAGGUAUUAAUCCGUUUUAUAUUGGUCUUGAAAUUGCUGGAGAUGAACCUGCCAAAAAUGAUGUUGUUCAAAGUGAGGUGAAAUAUGUUACAUUUGUUGUAAGGAAUAGAGUGUACAUGACAUUUUGCAAAAGAAAAGGUAUCGUUACGUUCUAAAUAAAGAUUAUUGUUUACAGCCAAUGUCUGCGUUGGAAUUUUUUUAUGGCAACUGGGACCACAUAACAAACUACCCGGACGACCUGCGCCUCGCCUUCCUUGUUCCUACCAGUCAGCAACGCAUCGAUGAAUUAGCAAUUACAUUUUAUGGAAACAAGAUUAAUUAUUCUGCUGUUGUAAUUGUUUUAGAGGAGUUAUGGUAUUAUAAACCAAAUUGGCAGCAAUUUAUUGGUCAAUUUAGGGAAGCAUAUAGGGAGUUUGUAUUUAUGCCGAAUGGAAUAAGGUGUGUGCAUCGUUACUACGAUUUUAGACAAGGGCGAUAUAGGCCGAGGAGAAGGUUGUAUGCAUUUCGUCGGACAAGGAUGAUGACCCGGGCUCGCCGUGCACGCCCGAGGCGGUGGAUACGCCGACGGAACAUUCUGACUAGCCAAUAUUUCGGCAGGAUGUGUACAUGGCGUACGGAGUAUACACAGUCCGACGGUUUACGAUUUGAAUAUGGGAAAAUGGGGGCAACAGAGAAAUAUGACGAGAAUGCGCAGAACUUCAGUACACUAAAGCAUUAUGACAUUUAGGACGAGUUUAACUUUUUUGCAAAUAAAUAUGCAUCUGUAAUUAUUAACAAAAUUGUAACAUAUGUUUAUAGGAUUAAUGUAAGAGUAGAAAGACUAACACUUGAUGACAGAGCUAAUAAAAAGAUAUUUGAAGACCAAGGUGCACUGGAGAAAGUAAGACUAGCUUGUAGUAAUAAGUUAGGUCCAUUUAGUUUAAGACCGGAACGUUCUUCAGGCGUUCCUUGGCGAAAGUACAGUAGAAGGAAUCGUUUUAAAUUUGUUACGUAUUCAAAGCCAGAGACCAGUGCUGAUAUAAGUAAAGUAAAAUCGUGGACUGAUUUGGAGAAUCAAUGCAAGUGUAAGAACAAACUCUUUCAAGGUGUCAAUCCAUUUUAUAUUCGUUUAGAAAUAGCUGGAUACGAGCCAGCGAAAAAUGACGUUGUACAAAGUGAAGUAAAAUAUGUAACAUUUGUAGUUAGGAACAGAGUGUAUAUGACUUUCUGUAAACGUAAAGGUACCGUUACAUUCUAAAUAAAAAUUGUUGUUUACAGCAUA